GCAGACACAUUCCAGCCAAUUAGCAGCAGACCCUCCCUCCCAGACCCUCCCACUUCCUGGACAGCUCACUAAGAAUGCAGCUUCACAAUGAAUGUAAAAUGGAUGCUGUCCAGGAGGUGGGAGGGUCUGGGAGGGAGGGUCUGCUGCUGAUUGGCUGGAAUGUGUCUG